rnacentral:rRNA from 1 species
AGAGCGGAACGCUGGCGGCGUGCUUAACACAUGCAAGUCGAGUGCGCGUCCGUAGCAAUACGGAUGGCGCACGGCGCACGGGUGCGUAACACGUGGGCAAUCUGCCCUCGGAUGGGGGAUAACCCCGCGAAAGCGGGGCUAAUACCGCAUGACAUUCCGGAAACUACGGUCUCUGGAUUCAAAGGCCGCAAGGUCGUCUGAGGAGGAGCCCGCGCCCGAUUAGCUAGUUGGUGAGGUAACGGCUCACCAAGGCUUUGAUCGGUAGCCGGUCUGAGAGGAUGACCGGCCACACUGGAACUGAGACACGGUCCAGACUCCUACGGGAGGCAGCAGUGGGGAAUAUUGCGCAAUGGGCGAAAGCCUGACGCAGCGACGCCGCGUGGGGGAUGAAGCUUCUCGGAGUGUAAACCCCUUUCGACCCGGACGAAUGACCCGCAAGGGUUUGACGGUACGGGUAUAAGAAGCCCGGCUAACUACGUGCCAGCAGCCGC